rnacentral:rRNA from 1 species
GCGACCNCAGGUCAGGCGGGACUACCCGCUG